GCUUUUAAAGGAUAACAGCUCAU
rnacentral:tRNA from 2 species